ACUCAGAUUUUGGAUGUUAUGUGGUCAUAAUUAUUGAGUUUAUACUUCCACGGUUGAAAACAAAAUUACAUUUAUCAGUCAUCAGUCAUCGACGUCAGUGUUUGAAGAAGCCAUUCUUUUAUUUUUAAGUUGUUGUCAACAUAAAAAAGUGUUAUCUUCUCAAGGCAUAUGACAUCACUUCGCUUUGGAGUUUCCGUCAAAUCCUCGGCCUGAAAAAAGAAAAUGUUAAGAGCAUUUGGCGGAUCAAAAUGGCGCCUAAAAUACCAUAUACAGAUGAAAAGUCAUCAGAAGGAAUAAACAAUAAAGCU